GUGAGGCAUUGUAAAUUUCUGAUAAUAUUUCCAAUUCUUAUAAUAAUAAAAAUAAAGCAAAACAUUAAAAAAAAAAAAAAACGAAAAGAAUCCCAAUUGGGGUUAUGUGUGUGGGAUUAGUUUGGAUUUUCCGUGGCUCCCUUGGCUUAGGCGUAGCUUUUGGGUUAUUCAGCAAUAGCCGAGGUGAGGUGAAGAUCGGAACCCUCCGCUCUCUGCUCUGCAAUGGCCAAGAUCGAAGAACUGAACGACUCGGUUGCCAAAUCUAAGAAUAAAAGGAAUCAUGGCUCUACAAUGUUCUUUGUCAUUGUUGAUUACCUUUUUAUUUUGAUCUUCCUGGGAUUCCUCUGCUUCAUCGUUUUCAAAAUUCUCAGCAUUUGAUUCGAUUCCCGAAAUCACACAAUCCACCGUGUGUUAUGUGCUAGGAUAUUCGCAUGACAUAGCUAGGCUUCACAAGCCUAGUUCCAAGCUUGAAGGCUGCGGCAACUAGCAAGUGUCAUUUUUAAUCAGAUCCUAUGAUGUAAUACUUGAAUUUACCAUCUUUCUCAACUUUUGUUCUCGAAUUCCAAAAUUUACACUACUCAUUUCCCCCGUUAGUUUUCUUUCAUUAGUGUCUUGUGUAUUACAUUUGAUCUUUUAACAUGUCCUUUUCCACUUUCAUUUCCUUUUA